rnacentral:lncRNA from 1 species
GCGGCAGAGACGAGAGGACCCCGUGGAUGUGCUCGGGGAGGAGGUGAUGGGGCGGGUGAUGGAGCUCCUGGACGCACGCAGCACCUAGCGCUGGGUCGCCGCCGACGACCGCCUCUGGGCACCCAAGCUAUGAUUUGCGACCUGUGGGUGAGCAAUCAACUUCUUGCUGAAGUGUCAGAGAAGGUGCGGUUUGCAUGGAUCAGGAUCGGUGAUGCUCCGGGCGGCUGCCGCCGCCGGUACACCAUGCAAGGACAGAAACUCUGUCGCCGUUGGUGCAUCGAGAAGGUCCAGCGAGAGCAACCGAUGCGUUUGCAUUCCACACUUCACCGGCGGCGCGUCGAGAACCUCCGGCCGUGGUUGUUCGUACUCGCCGGCAGCGGGCGGGGCGGCAAAGACGACGACCACCACGGGCCACAGCGGCGGGGCAGCGGAGGCGGCAUCCGCAGGGGCGGCGUCCGCAGGGGCGUGGCUCUCUUCUUUGCGCUGUCUGCGGCAUUCAUCGGCAUCAACGCUCGAGCUGACCAACCCGGUGGCUUCUGGCUUAGGAAGAGAGAGGAGGGAAGAUGAAGAAUCAGUU